rnacentral:misc_RNA from 1 species
AGGUGUCAUUCUAGAUUUUAUUUAAAAGAAGAAGAUUAUAUAAUUAUGGGAUAUUAUUUUUCUUGAAUACGUCAUUUAUUUAAUAUAGGAAUUUAACGCGUGUAACUACUUUCAAUGUGGAUGCAAUGAUGGAAAAAAUUAAGCAUCAUACGAAAUUAAUAUAUUUGUCUUUAGAUGUUUAUAUUUCAUAUAUAAAAGAACGAACGAAACAAUAAUUACAUGGCAUCCUCGCACUACAGGGGUUACAAGAAACGAUUAUUGGGAAGGGAAAAAAAAUAUAAUUCUAACAUUCUGUCAAGUAAAUGCUCUCAGUACUUAAACCGAUGCAUUUCCUCUGGUAGCUCAAGAUGAACAUCAUUGUGGAAGAAAUUACUGCUAAUGCAAAGGUCUAAAAUAUUUAGUGAAGAAAGCAAAAUCGCAGAAAACUCCCUUGGAAUAAAGGUUAAGUUUGCAUUUCGUCUAUUGUUUUUUUUUGCAAAAUGUCUCGUAAUAUGUCUAAUAGAAUGUUUCCUUAUCCAUGUGCAAUGUGUCCCAGAUUGCAACCAAAAGGAAACCAUUCUAAACCCCAUUUGAAUAUCAUUUUCAGGUCAACUAGAGAGAGAGAGAGAGAGA